rnacentral:rRNA from 1 species
ACUGGGCGUAAAGGGCACGCAGGCGGUGACUUAAGUGAGGUGUGAAAGCCCCGGGCUUAACCUGGGAAUUGCAUUUCAUACUGGGUCGCUAGAGUACUUUAGGGAGGGGUAGAAUUCCACGUGUAGCGGUGAAAUGCGUAGAGAUGUGGAGGAAUACCGAAGGCGAAGGCAGCCCCUUGGGAAUGUACUGACGCUCAUGUGCGAAAGCGUGGGGAGCAAACAGGAUUAGAUACCCUGGUAGUCCACGCUGUAAACGAUGUCGAUUUGGGGGUUGAGCUUUGAGUUUGGCGCCCGUAGCUAACGUGAUAAAUCGACCGCCUGGGGAGUACGGCCGCAAGGUUAAAACUCAAAUGAAUUGACGGGGGCCCGCACAAGCGGUGGAGCAUGUGGUUUAAUUCGAUGCAACGCGAAGAACCUUACCUACUCUUGACAUCCAGAGAACUUUCCAGAGAUGGAUUGGUGCCUUCGGGAACUCUGAGACAGGUGCUGCAUGGCUGUCGUCAGCUCGUGUCGUGAG